rnacentral:misc_RNA from 1 species
GAUGAAGAACGUAGCGAAAUGCGAUAAGUAAUGUGAAUUGCAGAAUUCAGUGAAUCAUCGAAUCUUAGAACGCACAUUGCGCCCGCCAGUAUUCUGGCGAGCAUGCCUGUUCGAGCGUCAUUUCAACCAUCAAGCCCCAGGCUUGUGUUGGAGCCCUGCGGCUGCCGCAGCCUCCCAAAACCAGUGGCGGGCUCGCUAUCACACCGAGUGCAGUAGUUUACUCUUCGCUCAGGGCGUGUGGCGGGUGCUAGCCGUGAAACCCCCAACUUCUCAAGGUUGACCUCGGAUCAGGUAGGAAUACCCGCUGAACUUAAGCAUAUCAAUAAGCGGAGGA